rnacentral:rRNA from 1 species
CAGUCGCCGCGGUAAUACGAGGGGGGCAAGCGUUGUUCGGAAUUAUUGGGCGUAAAGGGCGCGUAGGCGGUUUGACAAGUCUGAUGUGAAAUCUAUGGGCUCAACCCAUAGCCUGCAUUAGAAACUGUCGGGCUUGAGUAUGGGAGAGGUGAGUGGAAUUUCCGGUGUAGCGGUGAAAUGCGUAGAUAUCGGAAGGAACACCUGUGGCGAAAGCGGCUCACUGGACCAUAACUGACGCUGAGGCGCGAAAGCUAGGGGAGCAAACAGGAUUAGAUACCCCUGUAGUCCCUGUCUCUUAUAC